rnacentral:lncRNA from 1 species
AAGUGCCUGCCCUCUAGCCUCUACUCUUCCAGUUGCGGCUUAUUGCAUCACAGUAAUUGCUGUACGAAGGUCAGAAUCGCUACCUAUUGUCCAAAGCAGUCGUAAGAAGAGGUCCCAAUCCCCCACUCUUUCCGCCCUAAUGGAGGUCUCCAGUUUCGGUAAAAGUUUCAUUUGAUCUGAAUAGUAUUAAAAUAAAAUACCUGGAUGAGGAAGAUGAAGAGUAGAGACGGGGUUUCACUGUGUUAGCCAGGAUGGUCUCGAUCCCCUGACAUCGUGAUCCGCUGUCCUCGGUCUCCCAAAGUGCUGGGAUUACAGGCGUGAGCCACCGCACCUGGUCGAUUAACCUCUUUUAAGCCUGUUUUCUCAUCCAUACAAUGGAGAUAAUGGCAGCACCCACUGCUUGGUGCUGGAAGCCCAGGAAGCACACAUCAAGGCUCCCUUGCCAGCAGGGUGCUGCCAAUAAAAGGUAGUCACGUGGAAUUUGGAAUGUGGAAAGGAGGUAGAAGUCAUCCUUUCCUCCCCUGUAGCAGCAGGCGUGCAGGCUCUGGUGGUCAGCUGGACUCCAUACUCCCCCACCAGUCACCAGCCUGGGGACCGUGGGGCUGCAAGGACCUCAGCAGCGGUGUCCCAAGUUUCCUGACUUCUUCCAUCCUCUGGAAAUCAGCUGUGGUAAAGUAGCCUGAAAGCCAGUGGUACAACCCCCUCCCCACAACCUUCACCACCUCUAGCCCCUCCAAUGAAAAGCACUAAUUGCCUAUAUACAACCCCUUUUUGUUUGAAAUAUCUAGAGUAAUUUCUGUUUUCCUAUCUGGGGUAGUGUAACGUAAGAAGAAAUAUACAUUUGGUCUCUGCCCCCGGUUCCUAACACAAAGCUCCUAAAACCCUUGGAAAUUCCUGAAAGAUGGGGGUGCUAGGAGCAUUGUCUUUUUUUUUUUUUAAAUUUAUCAUUUUUCUUUUCUCCCAGGUGUUUUUUCCUUUUUUUUUUUUUUAACUUUUAUUUUAGAUUAGGGGAUACAUGUGAACGUUUGUUAUAUAGCUAAACUUGUGUCACAUGGGUUUGUUGUACAGAUUAUUUCGUCACCCAGGCACUAGGCCUAAUACCCGAUAGUUUUUUUCUUUUUUUUUUUUGAGAUAGAGUCUCGCUCUGUUGCCCAGGCUAGAGGCACGAUCUCGGCUCACUGCAACUUCCGCCUCCCAGGUUUACGCCAUUCUUCUGCCUCAGCCUCCUGAGUAGCUGGGACUGCAGGUGCCUGCCACCACGUCCAGCUAAUUUUUUAUGUUUAGUAGAGAUGGGGUUUCACCAUCUUGGCCAGGCUGGUCUCGAACUCCUGACCUUGCGAUCCACCCACCUCGGCCUCCCAAAGUGCUGGGAUUACAGGCGUGAGCCACCGUGCCUGGCCAGUACCCAGUAGUUUUUUUGGCUCCUCUCCCUCCUCCCACCCUUCACCCUCAGGUAGGGCCCAGUGUCUGUUGUUCCCUUCUUUGUGUUUAUGAGUUCUCAUCAUUUAGCUCCCACUUAUAAGUGAGAACGUGUGGUGUUUGGUUUUCUGUUCCUUUCUUAGUUUGCUGAGGAUAAUGGCCUCAAGAUCCAUCUGUGUUCCUACAAAAGAGAUGAUCUUGUUCUUUUUUAUGAUUGCACAUCUUUUGUUCUAACGUUUGGUCCUUCACCUUGGUUCCUGACACAAGGAUUCCUAAAUCCCUUGGAAUUUUCUGCAUGAUAGGAGCGUCCUUUGUUCUCAUGAGGUGACUCUUGGUGGGCUCCUUAUUUGGGGACUGGUCACCAAAAAUACCUAACUAUGGUUGGAAGCUUAGUGCUUUCAGCCCCAUUCCCCAUCCUCUGGGGUGGGGAGCAGAGCUGGAGCUCGAUCAUGCCUGCGUGACAAAGCCUCCAGAAAAAUCCUUGAAAGACAGGACAUGGAGAGCUGCUGGGUUGGCGAACACAUCCAUGUGCCGGGAGGAUGGUGCACCCCAACUCCACAAGGACCCUUCCAGACCUCACCCUGUGUAUCUCUUCAUCUGGCUGUUCAUUUAGCAGCUCCGAGGGCAGGCAUGGUGGCUCAUGCCUGUAAUCCCAGCACUUUGGGAGGCCGAGGCAGGUGGUUCAUCUAAGGUCUGGAGUUCGAGACCAGCCUGGCCAACAUAGCGAGAGCAGCUCCGGUGGCGGGAGGAGUGGCAGCGGCCAGGCAGCCCAGCUUCGCGAAGGCUGUAGGCACACCGCGGCCAGCAGGCACCUGGCACCCACCUUCCCUGCUGCCAGGAUGCCCAAGAAAAAGGUCAGCUCCACCGAAGGGGCUGCCAUGGAAGAGCCCAAGAGGAGAUCAGCGCAAUUGUCAGCUAAACCUCCUGCAAAAGUGGAAGCGAAGCCGAAAAAGGCAGCAGCGAAGGAUAAAUUUUCAGACACAAAAGUGCAAAAAA